GUGAAUUACUUUACCGACGUGAUUGAAAAUGGAAGUCAAAACAAACUUUAACGCGUCUCGUGUGAACUGUGCAGCAGCAGGUUUCACAUGUUUCUCUUUGGUUUCCUCUGGUGGUCUCUGCCCAACACCAGCUGGAGGGGCCCCGCAGCCACCGUCACAGCCCCCUCCGUUUCAAGCUGCUGCCGUCAGAUUAUCAGCCGCUGGGUUACAUGUCAGUCUGCCAGAGAUUUGAUUAGCGGCAUCUGUGAAACAGAAGAGUCAAGGGCGAGCAUGGGAACCGACUUAUCUGCCUCUGAGCAACUGGUCAUUUGCAAGGCCAUGUGAUAGACGCGCGUGGCUUCAGGGGACUUUUUUGGAAUAAUGUUUUAAUGUGAUUUAACCAAAAGUCUCCUAAUUUGUUGAAUGAAUUACAUUUAUUAAUUUCCCUGCAAAUUAAAUUACAAUUCUAAAGGAUUAGAGAAGAGAAUUGUGAUAUGUGACCCCCCCUGCAGGGCACUUGAAACUCAUCUCGAUUGCAUAACACCUGAAUAAAAGGCGCCAUUGA